GCAAGUCGAACGAAGUAGCAAUACUUAGUGGCAGACGGGUGAGUAACAUGUAGGUAUCUACCCUUUGGCCUGGAAUAACACGAGGAAACUUGUGCUAAUACCGGAUAAGUCUUUACGGAGAAAGCUUUAUGCACCAUUGGAUGAGCCUGCACUUGAUUAGUUUGUUGGUGGGGUAAUGGCCUACCAAGACUGUGAUCAAUAGCUGAUUUGAGAGGAUGAUCAGCCACAUUGGGACUGGGACACGGCCCAAACUCCUACGGGAGGCAGCAGUGGGGAAUCUUGCACAAUGGAGGAAACUCUGAUGCAGCGAUGCCGCGUGAGUGAAGAAGGCCUUUGGGUUGUAAAGCUCUUUCGUCGGGGAAGAAAAUGACUGUACCCGAAUAAGAAGGUCCGGCUAACUUCAUGCCAGCAGCCGCGGUAAUACGAAGGGACCUAGCGUAGUUCGGAAUUACUGGGCUUAAAGAGUUCGUAGGUGGUUGAAAAAGUUAGUGGUGAAAUCCCAGAGCUUAACUCUGGAACUGCCAUUAAAACUUUUCAGCUAGAGUGUGAUAGAGGAAAGCAGAAUUUCUAGUGUAGAGGUGAAAUUCGUAGAUAUUAGAAAGAAUACCAAUUGCGAAGGCAGCUUUCUGGAUCAUUACUGACACUGAGGAACGAAAGCAUGGGUAGCGAAGAGGAUUAGAUACCCUCGUAGUCCAUGCCGUANACGAUGUGUGUUAGACGUUGGAAAUUUAUUUUCAGUGUCGCAGCGAAAGCGAUAAACACACCGCCUGGGGAGUACGACCGCAAGGUUAAAACUCAAAUGAAUUGACGG
rnacentral:rRNA from 1 species